rnacentral:tRNA from 1 species
UCCUUGGUGGUCCAGUGGCUAAGACUCUGGGCUCCCAAUGCAGGGUCCUGGGUUUGAUCCCUGUCAGGGAG